rnacentral:rRNA from 1 species
GACGAACGCUGGCGGCGUGCCUAAUACAUGCAAGUCGAGCGCAGGAAACUGACGGAACUCUUCGGAGGGAAGGCAGUGGAAUGAGCGGCGGACGGGUGAGUAACACGUAAGGAACCUGCCUCAAGGAUUGGGAUAACUCCGAGAAAUCGGAGCUAAUACCGGAUAGUUCAACGGACCGCAUGGUCCGCUGAUGAAAGGCGCUCCGGCGUCACCUUGAGAUGGCCUUGCGGUGCAUUAGCUAGUUGGUGGGGUAACGGCCCACCAAGGCGACGAUGCAUUGCCGACCUGAGAGGGUGAUCGGCCACACUGGGACUGGGACGCGGCCCAGACUCCUACGGGAGGCAGCAGUAGGGAAUCUUCCACAAUGGACGAAAGUCUGAUGGAGCAACGCCGCGUGAGUGAUGAAGGUUUUCGGAUCGUAAAACUCUGUUGUAAGGGAAGAACACGUACGAGAGGAAAUGCUCGUACCUUGACGGUACCUUACGAGAAAGCCACGGCUAACUACGUGCCAGCCGCCGCGGUAA